ACGAGUGGAUGCUUGGAGUACCAGGAAAAGAUGGAGAUUGAAAUUACUGUAUCUGGAGAACAGCUGUCACAUUUAGACUGCCCAGUGUUUGCUGCAGAGCGUGGAACUUUCACUGGUGAACUGCAAUGUGGAGCAAAUUGUCAUGCUAAUGAUAAUUGAGUGUUUCUGUCAGAGACCGUUGCCCUUCUAGAAGACGGUGUUUUAUGUACUUGUGGUGUUUAUGGGUGAAAUGGAGUAACUGAGCACAGGGGUGACCUUUGUCAUCGCUAGAAAGUGCUAGGUGAGAUGGAUGGGAAAUUCUGCAGAGACGCACUUAACAACAAAGUGUGGGCAUCUGACCUAUGCAUUGUCCAGUUCAGUUCUUUGCUGCUGGCUUACUCAUCGUCCCUCAUGGUGCCAUUUAGUGCAGCAGAGCCAACUUAGUGAACCAGGACCAACUUUUACCACUGUGACUUAAUCAAAAUCAGGUGUCUUGAAAAUAGCUGCUGGCAUGUAUUUUUGCUAGGGAAGUUUGCCUGUGGCUCAUAAUGUCAUUGUUCCUAUCAAAGUUGCCGACAUCGCAGCCUAGGUUUGAAAGGGAGGCCAGGCCACUGGGUAGCUUUGCAAUGGUAGCCCAUUUGCCAGUCUACUCCAAGUCUUAGUGAAUGUGUUUGUGUAGUCGCUAAUUUAUUAUGCUUACUUCUCAGCAGCUGGCCUGUUGUGGGAAAACUGUAGAAAAGCUCAUGUCCCAACUGUGCAGUUAGUGAAGUUACAAGUGAUAACAUUAAAAAAAAAAAAAACAUAGGCUCUCUUCCACUGUUCUCGUUCACUGUGACGUUUAGAAAGCAAUCACUGGUGGUUUGGUUAAACAUUUCUGCCAACUUAGAUGAUUCAUGUGAGAACUGUCGAACAUUGCCUAGCCCAGAUAUGUUGCGAUUAUGUCUGUGACAGUUACUGUCACACUCUAAAGAGUUUCUCUUCUUGACUCGAUUCAAUAAAGCGAAUAUGGCGAUUCCACCCUCGAGUGGAGUGGCCACUGUGCUUCGACGAGACUCCAUGAUGAUUGCCGAGUGAAAAUUUCAUAACUUGGCAUUCAAGGUCUAUUCGAAUGCACUUGAGUGUUUCCAAUUCGUCUCAUUGUAAGGUUCACCCAGGGGAAUCAUUUAACUGCUGUGUCUUCGGCAGUUGAGGAAAAGUGCUGUGUGUGUCACAUUCAUGUGGCGCAGUUAAAAAACGAGGUUCAAGUUGAGGCUUGUUUGUGAAUACUCGGGAUAACGUAUUACUUAGGCACUUGUCACUCUGUUCCUUUAGCAAUGUGUUCAUUGUUUCAAUUUCUACUAGCCUCCGACAGCGUUUAGUAUUUCAAUUCUAAGGCCUCCAUUUACUUCGAUGAUGCCUGUAGCCAUGUAAUAUUGUGCAGGCUCAAUUAGAAGCCAAUCUACUCUCUGCUGACCACUGCCGCUUUCUUGUUCAAAUGACAGACAGCCCUGCAAAGCCAGCCGCAGCGUCCACUGCAGACCUGAUCAAGCGAGAGGGGAUCAGCUGCUCACUGUGUGGCACGGACCUGGUGACGGAAGACCAGUUGCGAGCACACCGUUGCAGUGAGAGGCCACUGCCCCGUGGACGGGGCCGCUAUGCAUGCCGCUACUGCCGCUUCGCCUGCAACGACCGGCUUGAACACAGUCUGCACCAGACACAGCACCUCAAGGACAGACCGUUCAGCUGUGGUGUGUGCGGCAAGGCGUUUGCACGCAACAGUGACCGCAACCGGCAUGUCAAGAUCCACACGGGGGUCCGGCCCUUCCAGUGCGACGUGUGCUCGCGCAAAUUCCGGCAGUCGUGGCACCUCCAGUAUCACCGCAGCACCCACACAGACUUCUGAUGCCGGCGACACAGGUUUCUGAUGUCACGAGUGAUGGCAUUUUGGCCAACAGAGAUCUGAGCUUCGUCGUGGGAUGUGUCUGCAACAGCCAAGCCUGCACGUCGUUCAGUGGUGUCUAGCAGCACAGCUGCGGCAACCAGUGACCAUCUGUCGUGCCUGCGUCCUAUGAGUCUCGUUGCUUCUUAAGAUCUCGCUUGCGACUCUUGCUUUGUCUGAGCCCCUGAAACGUCCAUUGUGUGCACCGAGGCUGUGCCCUUGCCAAGUGGGUGCCUGUGCGUCUCAUGAUACAGGGUGUUGCAUGUUGUGCACAUGGCCAAUAUGAAAUGUGGACCUUUUGUUGGAUGUUCCUUGCUUCUUUCUGUAUGAAAUGGAUGAGUAGCAUCAGUAGUUACGUUAGCUGUACUAACUAAAUAUUGCCACAAAUUUUGAAAGAUACAUAGUGGUGGGCUGUACAUAAAUAGAACCAGCUUAAGUUGCUACCUGUGGCCUUUUCUAAAGUUGACCUUUUUUCAUCACUUUGUAUAAGAGUAAUGAAGCAACGUUUCAGUUAUUCACCAUGACAUCAUUUACUAAUUUGUAGGGGACGAUGAGAAACUGUCUUUAAAUCAAUUUAAACUAAACAACUUAUCAGGCCUAAUGAAAAAAUACUCAGUAGCAGCAUAUGGCUGAUUCCACUCAUGUAGCAUGUAGAGCCCUCCAUUAUAUUUAAAAACCUCUGCAACAUUUUAUUGGAACAGCUGCUGCGCAGUGCCUAACUGCUACUGCAGGGAUGCAUAGCUUUGUGACGUAACCAUCAACUCUGGCUUGCUAGAAGGGGAGCACGUUGGACUUGGAACAGAAUUCAUCCGUGUUUCAUCUUAGCCACCUGAAUUACCAGCUGGGAAACUAUGGCCUGCACUGUUGGACCAUUGGCACCGGAGUCUUGCACGCAUGGGUUGCUACACGUGCUCUGCUUUUUUGCAUGCGCAAACAUCAUACGAUUCUUCUUGUCAACAGUAACUCUCAGCAUAAGUCUGCCAAACAAAACUGCGAGCUUGUGUGUUUGUUACUGCUACGAUGAUACAAGACAGUAAUCCCUCGCAGGUAAUCAGGUCAAUGUGAAACUAAGUAUCAAGGAAGGCAGGCCACGUAUACCUACGAGAGGUUUCCGUGCCAAAAACUCAGCAUCUAAACUAAGGCUGUUUGUUAUUUCUAAAUUAUGUGACGUUAAGUGUGCAGUGUUUUACGAGUAAUGUUUGCGUGCACCCCAUGCAUGAAUUCAACAGACGAGCCGUGAAACCGUGUAGUGGCAAACUUGGUCAAAGUAGUUUUGUCCGACCUGUUCGUAACACUGUGAAGUCACUGAGUUGAAGUUAACUUACUGGCAAACUAUGGCAGCGUACUAAGUCAGCACACAUGGUACCAAAGAAUCAAAAUAUUUGCUGUAGGAGCUUGCCCUUUCACUGCCUUUUACAAGAAGCGUUAUCUCUCUAGCACAAUAUAAGAGACCAUGAAAAUGCAUUGUAACAUCCGACUCUGCAAACUUGAACUCUUCUGAACCUCUUCAGCGUGAGCAUAGAUUUGUUUUUCUUUAGGUGGGGAGUUGCGUCUUGUAGACAACUUCUUUAGAAAUCUUCAUUCUUCAAGUUAAGGCGCUGUAAACUUGUAGACAAAUGUAAUUUUAUAUGCCUAUUUCAAAUAUAUGGAAUCUAUAUUUGUUGAUAUCAUUUGUUCAUAAUGUGAUUGAAGUUUCAUUUACCUAAUAUAAUCUUCAAAAUUUGCAAGCGAUCAAUUAUUCAGAUUUGACUGGACAGGUUAUCAGUGGCUUCGGCACGAUUCAAGAAACACAGUAAGGCCAACCUUGUUGCUUUGGCUAACCUAGAACAAGAGUUGCAGGACUUGGAAGUUGACACUCGGAGUUCUGUUCUUCUUGGAAUUCUCUUUUGAAGCCUCACAACUCUUGCUGUCUUGCUUAAAGGUAAAAGAAAAUGUCAUAUAAUUUAAACCGAAUGAGGUAAACAAAAGUGGAGUUCAUAUUUGAAAUAAGGGCAUAAAGUUAGAUAUAUCUACAAACUCUACAAGAUGUCAGCGCCACAACUUGAGAAAUAAAGAUUUUUUAACGUUUUCUUUUUCCCCUAAGAUCCAAUUCACCCCUUAAAUGUCGUUGCACUCUGUGCCGCUGCAUAUAUUUCUUGCAUGCGAGUUCUGCUGCAGUGAAAUCAUCGCUUCAAAGAUAAAAGGUGAAAAGCCAAUAACGAGAAAAAAAAUUAUGCAGAUCCAACGCACAUCUUGGAAUCUAUGUGAAGCGAUGCUUUCGUGAAGCGUUCAGUGAAAUGCCACAGAUUUUGCCACUUCAUUCCUGCGUCUUUGACAAGAAACUGCCGCACGUAAAUGUGCUCCCACACAACUUGCUGGCCAGUGUGACAUCUCCAGGAGCUAGUUGGCAUGACAGAAGCAUGCGUGCAACUGUGGCCUGACAGAGUGUUGGGCUGCUGUGCUAGGGGUUUGAUCCCACCAUCGGGCAUGUAAUUCAAUUUCUUUUCUUUAAAGUGUGAGCUAUCUUACAAGACAGUCGGGAAAGUCCAGGAGAGUUCGCUUUAAAAUUGGCCUACGUACAACACACAACAACCAAGUACUUGUAAACGAAAGGUGAUGACUUUUCGCUGGAACUCAAAGAGUGUUACCUUUAAGAAUUUUAAGGAUGAACUUUUGUUUGGCAAGUUGU